rnacentral:rRNA from 1 species
AUUGAACGCUGGCGGCAUGCUUUACACAUGCAAGUCGGACGGCAGCGGGGGUGCUUGCACCUGCCGGCGAGUGGCGAACGGGUGAGUAAUAUAUUGGAACGUACCGAGUAGUGGGGGAUAACUAAGCGAAAGUUUAGCUAAUACCGCAUACGACCUGAGGGUGAAAGCGGGGGACGGGAGACUGCCUCGCGCUAUUUGAGCGGCCAAUAACUGAUUAGCUAGUUGGUGGGGUAAAGGCCUACCAAGGCGAUGAUCAGUAGCGGGUCUGAGAGGAUGAUCCGCCACACUGGGACUGAGAGACGGCCCAGACUCCUACGGGAGGCAGCAGUGGGGAAUUUUGGACAAUGGGGGCAACCCUGAUCCAGCCAUGCCGCGUGUCUGAAGAAGGCCUUCGGGUUGUAAAGGACUUUUGUUAGGGAAGAAAAGGGAAGUGCUAAUAUCACUUUUUGCUGACGGUACCUAAAGAAUAAGCACCGGCUAACUACGUGCCAGCAGCCGCGGUAAUACGUAGGGUGCGAGCGUUAAUCGGAAUUACUGGGCGUAAAGCGAGCGCAGACGGUUAUGUAAGUCAGAUGUGAAAUCCCCGAGCUUAACUUGGGAACUGCGUUUGAAACUGGGUAACUAGAGUAUGUCAGAGGGGGGUAGAAUUCCACGUGUAGCAGUGAAAUGCGUAGAGAUGUGGAGGAAUACCGAUGGCGAAGGCAGCCCCCUGGGAUAAUACUGACGUUCAUGCUCGAAAGCGUGGGUAGCAAACAGG